rnacentral:rRNA from 1 species
UACAGAGGUCCCAAGCGUUGUUCGGAUUCAUUGGGCGUAAAGGGUGCGUAGGUGGCGCCGUAAGUCGGGUGUGAAAUCUUGGAGCUUAACUCCGAAACUGCAUUCGAUACUGCCGUGCUUGAGGACUGGAGAGGAGACUGGAAUUUACGGUGUAGCGGUGAAAUGCGUAGAUAUCGUAAGGAAGACCAGUGGCGAAGGCGGGUCUCUGGACAGUUCCUGACGCUGAGGCACGAAGGUCAGGGGAGCAAACGGG